GGCAACGUGGCCGAGUGGACCAUGGCGACUGCCUCGAAAGCAGUUCCCUUCGGGGGCGCAGGUUCGAAUCCUGCCGUUGUCG
rnacentral:tRNA from 1 species